CCCCCUUCCUCGAGGCCUUCCUUCCCUCCUUUCCCUAGUCACUGAGAGGGACUCAACAUCACAGCCUUCUUGCAAGAGCAGGGUUAGGAGCCCCCAGCUUUCAGUUCUGCUCUACUGCGCCCAGACAGGAAGGCAGAGGAGCUCUUUUUCUUCCGUGUCCUUGGGGUUGUGUCCCGGCCUUUUCUUCCUGUCUACCCGGCAGCAGGUGCCACCCUAGACCCUGCCUGAGAGCCGACAGGGACCCGCACAGACGCCCGGGACCUUGGCUUCCAGAGACAUUCGAGGUGACUAGUCUUGGUCCCCGCUCGGGGGAGGAUGCAUUGCUGGGUGCUCCACUGCCAACAGCCACCACCGUCCUUGAGGCCCACCCAUGUCCCAUGGGAGGAGAGUGACCAUUGCCACGGUGGGAACGUCUGACCCCCACCUGGACAGUAGGUAGGUGGCACCAGAUGGGUGACAGGUGAGAGGUGUGAAGAUCUGCCAGGUGGGGGCCAGCACUGAGGAAGCCCUGAGGCAGGGGAAAGGAGUCUUCAGAGGCCAACGGGUUCCUUGAAGCAAGAUGGGUUGGGAGUGAGAAGCUUCUGGAAAGAUGAGGGUUAGUCACAAGGGCACCUGCAUGGGUACCAGGCAGGUUUACGGCCUCAGGCUUGCACAGCAGGUGAGGAAGACUCUUACGUGGAAGAACACAAAAGCAUCUCCUGUUGGCAAAGUUUAUAAAGACUGUCGGCUGUGUGGAGGCAUGAGCAGGCUUCUUGUCCCCAGAGCCACGCAAGUUAGGGCCCAGAAUGGGAGCCUUGGCCUGGCCGCGAGGCCCCCUCUGCGCUCUGCGCUGUGGGUGACAAGCAGUCGCCCGCCGAGUGAUGUCAGUCAAGGAAUGACACGGAGACAUCUACAUUUUAGAAGAGCAGCAACACUCACAUUGUCACCCAGCUCAGCCAGAGCAAACAGUGCUCCGGGCGAGGUGGCAGCGGGGACAGAGAUGGCGGCCGGCAUGCUCAGGCGGCCCUGGCUUCUGGUGUGAGGUUUCCCUGAGAGCAAAGCAAGCAUGUCGUCCGCCUACUUCCUGCCCUGGCAGAGGCCCGGACAGCACCCACCUCACACUGUGUCCAGGGACAGGUCCUAGCAGACACUGCCUCACCAGCGGUGACCCUGCAGACACCACCGUCCGCCGGCCACUAUGCCGGCCAGGCCUGCAGCCUCGUCUUGGCCUGGCCAUCAUUGUCUCUGACAUGUGUCCUUGGCCCAUGUCACCCCUUGCCUAAGAGGUAGGUGUGGAUUGCACAGGAUAUAAUCCUACGCCACUGGGAAGUGCUAAAGCAAAGGCACCAAGCCCAGCCGGGACACUGUCCUGCUAAAACGCUGUCAACACACGCGUCCGGCAGGUGUCCUGGCGCACGUGGUGAGCUCCCCUGCCAGCCUCCACCUUGGGCCUCGGUGUCUCCAGCUUUGCCAUGGGGAUGAUGGGCCCCACCUGGAGCCAUGAGUGAGAAAUAAUCCCUAAAACUCUCUGUAAAGCUCCGUGCACCUAUAAAGUGCUGUUAAAGUAAUGAGCACAGCUUAGGGUCAACUGAAGGAUGCAGCGGCCCAGCGGCCCUCCUGAGACCCACUCCUUGGCCCGGGGGCCUGGGGAAGCGCAAGGCUGCCCUUGACUUCAGCAGGUCAUGACUGCUCCACCAUGGAGAGCCAGGCGGAGGUGACCUGCCCUGGGACUGAGUGAUCAUCAGUUUUGCCAGGUAUUUUUUCCUGGGAGUGUAACCUUAAACCUUGCCAGACUCCAUCCCUUAGUCACCACGCCAUACCAUCCUGUCUUCUCCACGAGAAGGUGUCAGACCCCGUCACCCAGCAAAGGGGGCAAGCAAGGUGUUCAUGGUUGCCUCGAGUAAGCAAAUAACUGAACGAAACUCACCCUGUAUCCUCCGGUGGUCCUGCUCGCCUCCUUCCAGUUUGCAAGCGUGAAGUCGCCUGCAGGAGAGAACUGCUCGUCCUGUGGGUUAGGAAUCAGUGUUUUCUUUCAGUGCUAAUGAUGACAAGCACGCUCCUAUUGUAUGAAGUCGGGCUUUAUCUGUUUGGUGUAAUGUAAGACAAGCCACUGCUGCAAGACAGCAAAGUUUUAAAAUAAAAAAGCUAAUGUAGCAAACAUUUUGACCAGUACCACAAGUAGCACUGGACAUACCAACUGCACUUCACUUGAAAACUUUUUCUUUUGGCACAAAAAAAAUGCAUUUCAAAUGACAGAAUGGUCAUGGUACAAAAAAGUUUAUUUAAAUUAAAUAUUUUUGACAAAUCAAUAUCAUAACCAUUCCAAGCAUGUGUAGUCCUUACAAAAAAAAAUGGAACAGUUUAGCUUAAUGUCUGUGAUACUAUUUUACAUGAUUAUUAAUACACUUCUGGGCUGUGCACCAGAACAAUUUACUAUGGCAUAUACAGUAAUAACAUAAAGAUUAAUCAGGUAAGUGAUUUUACAGUAAGACUUCUUGGAAGGAAAAAAGAAUCAACAAUAUGAAAUAUAAGGUGAACAUAAUAGGAGAAUAUAUAAAACACAUUUCAUACGGGCAAUAAUAUGCUGACGCCAGAAGACAAGCAAGUGGCACGUUAGGUCUGCUCCUUCGAAGGAAAUUCGGGGGAGGACAGAGGACAGGAAUGUCGCGGCUCAGGACCGGUGUCAGAGUCACAGUGUGUUUCUGCUUGGGAAGCGAGUCUCACAAAGAGGCUGCGCGAAGCGGCUCUACCGCGCUGGCAGAGGACAGAGCUUGAGGGACCGGCUGACUCACCAGCUAAGAAAUUCUCCGGACAGAGGAAUCACUGGGGUGUCAAGUCAGGGGCUCUUUGCAUUAGGGAACCAAUUCAGCGGGUGGAGCAAGAGAAAGCAGAAGAGAGAAAGAAAUUCCAGGAAAGGGAGAAAGGGAGCUGAGACAGCGGGAAGAGGCUCUUUUUGCACGUGCGGAGGGGAAAGAGUGGUGAAAUUUUGCUCAAGAAACCAACAUAUCCGGAGUGCUGACAGUCUGCUGCUCCACCGUGCUCUGUGUUAGGAGCCUGGCUCCUGGGGUCUUUCGGAGCAGAAGGUGGUGAGAGACGGCCACGGUUAAGCAGACCUGGUUUACACCACAGGGAGUGUGCGCAAAGGUGAGUAUGGGGGCGUCUCUCACCGACUCUCUCCGAGUGUGCGUGAUGAAAAAGAAUUGACUGAAAACUCUAUCUUUAAAAACCCAGCUUGAACUCAGUCUCGUUUCCAGUGAUGCUGUCUGACUUCCAAAUCUCCGUCUGGAGGAGUCCUGCCACCCGAGCGAGGGCACCGCGGAAGGGAGACAGCAGGAGCAGAAAGCCAUGUCCAGAGCCGUGCAGAGCCAGGCUGCACAUCGUGAGGAUGCCCUACUGUCCUUCAGGCAGCCGCGCCAGAACCCCACCUCAGGACAUGGCGGGCACGGAGGCCUUGGCUGUCCAGUCUGCCGCGGCUUCGCAGAGCGGAGGAUACUAUAACUUCUGGCAUCAACCUCACAACCCUUGGUUGAGGGAACCCAGGCUCAGCCAACAGUUGCACGGACGCAAGUCAAUUCUAGGGUCUGAGCCCAGCUAAUCAACCACCAGUCUCUACCAGGGAAGGUCAACCUGCAACACAUGCGCACGUAAGAUACCGCUUCUGACUGUCUGCUUGAGACCCCAUGGCUAUGGGACUCCUUCUCAGCCACUGACUCCACACAAAAGCAAACCCCUGAACUCCUCUGGGCCGCAUUUUUCUCACCAUGAAAGGGAUGCCAAAGAUACUGCAAUAACAGUUCAGAGCCAGCUCUCUCUUUAAGAAGCAACCCCUCUAGUAAUUCACCAGUGCUAAAAUGCUGCCAGUACUUGACUUCCUAAUUGUCAUUCCUGCUGUCUGUUGUUUUGCAAAUCACGCUGGUGUCUGUUUUAUCCCUUCUCUGGCACCAGAGUAUUCUGGGGGUCACUUCUAGACCCCUACAUUGCUCCCUCCGAGAACUGCCUCGGGAUUCUACAACUUUCCUAUGUUCCCCCAAGACACUAAGGGAGCCUGAAGUUUGAGACCCACUAGCCAAGGGGCCAAGGCCCUAUAGGAAAGGGGCCAUGUCUUCCAUUCACCACACCAUGAAGGCGUUCAUAGGCCGCCGUCCCUGUCCCCAGCACAUCCAAGAGUCAGCACACUGCCAGAUGCACAGUGGUCCUCGAGCCCAGGCAAGGGGGGCAACUGUUAAAGCAUUCUGUCACUUGGGUGAAAGUGUCUAAGUAUUCUGUGGAGGUGCCAGUCACUGUCAUGAGCUGUCACUUCAAAGGGUGACUUAAAGAGGGUUAGGAACUCCACAUUCUGAUCUAGACACUGGUGCCCAGCCUGUAACUGAGGCCAUAAAGGUCUUGUAAGAGGCUUGCAAUCCAGAUACCAGAUAUAAAAUGUGAGUGUACUUCCCAAAUGUGCCUGAGUGUUGUGGUAGCACUAAAAUACAUUCGGCCUCCCUGUCCUGAUAUACUUUCUUAUACUGGACUAGAAACACUGGUGCCUCUGGGUGAAGUUUCAAUGUUGCAGUUUUGUGGAAAGUUUAUAGUGG